rnacentral:rRNA from 1 species
GAACAGAUAAGGAGCUUGCUCCUUUGACGUUAGCGGCGGACGGGUGAGUAACACGUGGAUAACCUACCUAUAAGACUGGGAUAACUUCGGGAAACCGGAGCUAAUACCGGAUAACAUAUUGAACCGCAUGGUUCAAUAGUGAAAGGCGGCUUUGCUGUCACUUAUAGAUGGAUCCGCGCCGUAUUAGCUAGUUGGUAAGGUAACGGCUUACCAAGGCAACGAUACGUAGCCGACCUGAGAGGGUGAUCGGCCACACUGGAACUGAGACACGGUCCAGACUCCUACGGGAGGCAGCAGUAGGGAAUCUUCCGCAAUGGGCGAAAGCCUGACGGAGCAACGCCGCGUGAGUGAUGAAGGUCUUCGGAUCGUAAAACUCUGUUAUCAGGGAAGAACAAAUGUGUAAGUAACUGUGCACAUCUUGACGGUACCUGAUCAGAAAGCCACGGCUAACUACGUGCCAGCAGCCGCGGUAAUACGUAGGUGGCAAGCGUUAUCCGGAAUUAUUGGGCGUAAAGCGCGCGUAGGCGGUUUUUUAAGUCUGAUGUGAAAGCCCACGGCUCAACCGUGGGGGGUCAUUGGAAACUGGAAAACUUGAGUGCAGAAGAGGAAAGUGGAAUUCCAUGUGUAGCGGUGAGAUGCGCAGAGAUAUGGAGGAACACCAGUGGCGAAGGCGACUUUCUGGUCUGUAACU